CUUUCUUUUUUUAAAAAAACUGAGGUAUAUCCCCAUGGGGGCCCGGUGCACAAUGGCUGCAAACAGCAGCCUCCUCAGUAGUGUAUGCAGCCUGUUGCCUGUAUGGGUUGCCCUAAGGGACCUUGGAGACAGCC
rnacentral:snoRNA from 1 species